rnacentral:rRNA from 1 species
ACGAACGCUGGCGGCGUGCCUAAUACAUGCAAGUCGAGCGGAAUGAAGAAGAAGCUUGCUUCUUCUGAUUUUAGCGGCGGACGGGUGAGUAACACGUGGGCAACCUACCAUGUAGAUUGGGAUAACUCCGGGAAACCGGGGCUAAUACCGAAUAAUCCAUUUUGCUUCAUGGCGAGAUGUUGAAAGACGGUUUCGGCUGUCACUACAAGAUGGGCCCGCGGCGCAUUAGCUAGUUGGUAGGGUAAUGGCCUACCAAGGCGACGAUGCGUAGCCGACCUGAGAGGGUGAUCGGCCACACUGGGACUGAGACACGGCCCAGACUCCUACGGGAGGCAGCAGUAGGGAAUCUUCCACAAUGGACGAAAGUCUGAUGGAGCAACGCCGCGUGAGUGAAGAAGGUUUUCGGAUCGUAAAACUCUGUUGUAAGGGAAGAACACGUACGAGAGUAACUGCUCGUACCUUGACGGUACCUUAUUAGAAAGCCACGGCUAACUACGUG